rnacentral:lncRNA from 1 species
AUGUGCUCUAGCUGCAUUGAAGCAAGUUCCCUCCCAUCCCAAAUUCAAUGUUUACCCCUAUUUUUUUUCCUUCUUUGUCUUUGACAUCUGAAAAUUGGAACUCGGUACCAAAAAUUCAUCGCACGUCUUUCACUAGGCCGUGAAUUAGGGUCGACAAUCUUAUCAAAGUUGGAAGGAAACCCAGAAACCAUUAGGGUAAUUGAUUAUCUUUGUAAAAUUUGUGGAAACUGAUGGAUAACGCCGCUAAGUUCAUGUGUAUCUAUCCUAUCACAACUCCGGUGAAGAAUCGGCAUAAAUCCUGAACUCGGUACUUCAAUCUUAUGCCGUUCAACAACGUGUGGGCCCAUACCAUAAGUUGGUCCCAGUGUUAGUGGGAAGAGGAUCUGUUCUUCGUAUUUGGUAGGUUAGCAAAGCAGAUAUUUCCACCGGUUGUUAUUGUGGUCUAGCUUCAUCAAAACAGUCACAAUGGAGAUUGGCCAGAAUCCAAUUGACAUUGACAAAACAAAGAAAAUUUUGGAGCCUGAUAAAACCAGUCGUAGCGGAUGGCAUUUGUCUGGAAAAGAAAGAGUCAUAUUCAGCCAGCCUAGUCCUAAAAGGAAACCCUUACUUGGUUCUACCAUUCAGGACCCGCUCUGUAAUGUCAACAUGCAGUCAACCGAUGGCCCUGUUAUCCCUACUGCCGGUGAUGCAAAUCAGCAAGAAGAACUAAUAGUUAGCAGUGGCACAAUUAGCAUUUCAAGUGUUUACUCUCAAGGAUGAGUAUGUUAGUAAUCAUGUGGUUGAUCUUGUGAAACGCGCGAAUAGAAGACUGACAUCGCGCAUUGGCUACGAAGAAUCAUGAGAAUCCUUUUCCUAGCAAGUUGGCCAGUUUCAAGAUUUUAGCAAUGGAGAUAACUCGUGCGCAGCAACAACACUGAUUCAUUCUGCUGGUGUUUGAUGCUAAUCAAGAGUUUGUUUGAAGUUUAUGAAUUGUUCCUAGAACGCAAACAAAUUACCCAACACAAAGUUAAAAAGUUUCUUUGAUAUCAUAUGCAUGGCAUGUUGGCUAUGUUUCUGCCUUCGUAGCCCGCGUCGCAACGCACGCGGGUAAAAAUCUAGUUUCAACUAAUUUACAUGUUGAAGUUGAGAAAAACUAGUUGUUGGAAAUGUGCAAAAGGUUUGAAGAUGAUCAUUAAAGAAAAAAAGCUGAGCUUGAAACUAUGCGAAAAGAGUUUGCCAGCCAG